GAUGAACGCUGGCGGCGUGCCUAAUACAUGCAAGUCGAGCGAACAGACGAGGAGCUUGCUCCUCUGACGUUAGCGGCGGACGGGUGAGUAACACGUGGAUAACCUACCUAUAAGACUGGGAUAACUUCGGGAAACCGGAGCUAAUACCGGAUAAUAUAUUGAACCGCAUGGUUCAAUAGUGAAAGACGGUUUUGCUGUCACUUAUAGAUGGAUCCGCGCCGCAUUAGCUAGUUGGUAAGGUAACGGCUUACCAAGGCGACGAUGCGUAGCCGACCUGAGAGAGUGAUCGGCCACACUAGAACUGAGACACGGACCAGACGCCUACGAGAGGCAGCAGUAGGGAAUCUUCCGCAAUGGGCGAAAGCCUGACGGAGCAACGCCGCGUGAGUGAUGAAGGUCUUCGGAUCGUAAAACUCUGUUAUUAGGGAAGAACAAAUGUGGAAGUAACUAUGCACGUCGUGACGGUACCUAGUCAGAAAGCCACGGCUAACUACGUG
rnacentral:rRNA from 1 species